UUUUUUGGAAGUUUCAGGAUAGGUGUUAACUCUUCUCUAAAUGUUUGGUAGAGUUUGCCUGUAAAGCUCUCUGGUCCUGGACUUUUGAUUGUUGGGAGUUUAAAAAUUACUGAUGCAGAUAUCCUGUCAUGGCUCAGUGGAAACGAAUACGACCAGUAACCGUAAGUACACAAGUUCCAUCCCUGGCUCAGUGGGUUAAGGAUCCUGAGUUGCCAUGAGCUGUGGUGUAGGGAUCAAAUCAGCAUUCUUACGGAUACUAGUAGGAUUUGUUUCUGCUGUGCCACGAGAACUCCCUGCUGUUGAAUUCUGAAUGCACUGUGCCACAGCGGGAACGCCACAUAUUUUUUUUUGAAUACAUGGAACAUUCAAACAAUAAUUUUUGAAGAAUAAAAUUAUUUUUUGUCACAACAAAUUAUAAAAAGGGGCAGCACAAGAGAAUUUUGGGAGGUGGUAGAACUGUUCCAUAUCUCAAUUAUGGUUAUUACAUGAUUUGGCAUUUGUGAAAACUCAGAAUUAUACAUCAAAAAGAGUGAAUCUUACUAUGUAAAUUUAAAAAUUAAAAUGUUUUAAGAGGGGGGAAAAUAUCAUUUUAUAGCCCAUUAAUAACCUUUAGGGGCAACCAAAAUGCAACGCUGGUCUUAUAAAGAAUAAUAUUCUAGUGGUAGAAAUUUAGUUGCUCAAUCAAAUUUCGUGGAGAGAUAUUUUCAGAGAUUUUAGAAUUUUUAAACCGGGAAAUCAUCUAUCCACUGUAGUAUUAUACUGUAGCUUUUUUUGGCUUACAGAUCCAUUUUUCCCCUCUCCCACAUAAGACUGUUAGAUUCCAAAGGGCAUCUCCCUGUGUCCCUGUUUAGUUAUCUUGGUAUCCCCAGACUCUACCUAGUAUAUCUGACACCUAGUGGAUACUCAACGAAUAUUUGCUGAAGAAGUAGAAGUCCUGUUUUAAGCACAGAAGGAAAAGUGAAAGUAAAUAUGAUACAGCCCCUGCUCUCAAAAAAACCUUAAACCUUAGUGGCCAUGUACCCUCAAUAUAGUUAGUAGUACACAAGCACAAGUGGGAAAUGAAAGAGGAAGGAGGUAGGGGAAGAUUUGGUGUAGGCUGACUACUUUUUCU
rnacentral:lncRNA from 1 species